UCUACAGUAACUCCCCUUUCCCGUGUACCCAUUUCCCCUACACCCAUUUCUUCAAUCUUUCUCCAUCGGCAGUUUGACCCCUUUCCCCCUCUCCCGAUAAUGUGCGAGGACUCUCUUCAUCUUCGGUGACGACCUUCCACUCUAUUCCAUCGACAGCUUUCAUCUCGACAGUCGUUCACCCUGUUCCAGCCCUCCAUCGACAACUUUCUUUUCAACCCCACUUUCUAACUCAAGGACACGGGAUGAGUCUCACAGUUCACUGAAACCGUAAGGUGUUUUAGCUGCCCAACCGAACAAUACCCAUCAUCAAAAGAAGCUCAGAUUUGGGUCCAAUGGUGGAAAUUUAGAAGACUCUGACUUGGGGAUAAGCAAAAGGGGUCUAAAACAGCUGCAUGAGAUGUUUAAUUCAGAAGGAGCAGUGCAAGAAAACCCAAAGGUUGCAUACGGAAGGACGAAAAAAGGCCAAAGUUUAUCUGUAGCAGAAGAGAGUGGACAAAAUUUUGAUAGUGUUUCGCAGAUAUCAACUAGAAGCCAGAAGCUGAAAAACUAGGUCCUAUUUGAGUUUGAACGGGCAUCAAAAGCUGAAA